GACGAACGCUGGCGGCGUGCCUAAUACAUGCAAGUAGAACGCACAGUUUAUACCGUAGCUUGCUACACCAUAGACUGUGAGUUGCGAACGGGUGAGUAACGCGUAGGUAACCUGCCUGGUAGCGGGGGAUAACUAUUGGAAACGAUAGCUAAUACCGCAUAAUAUUAAUUAUUGCAUGAUAAUUGAUUGAAAGAUGCAACUGCAUCACUACCAGAUGGACCUGCGUUGUAUUAGCUAGUAGGUGAGGUAACGGCUCACCUAGGCGACGAUACAUAGCCGACCUGAGAGGGUGAUCGGCCACACUGGGACUGAGACACGGCCCAGACUCCUACGGGAGGCAGCAGUAGGGAAUCUUCGGCAAUGGACGAAAGUCUGACCGAGCAACGCCGCGUGAGUGAAGAAGGUUUUCGGAUCGUAAAGCUCUGUUGUAAGAGAAGAACGGGUGUGAGAGUGGAAAGUUCACCACUGAACGG
rnacentral:rRNA from 1 species